rnacentral:lncRNA from 1 species
GUUCUCUAAUGUGACACUGCUGAAGAAUCAAAUACCAAUGUCAGUUCAAUAGCACCCUGAUGAUUUACUCCUGGAUCCAACUGCACAUGUUCACCUCAUCAUCAUUCUACAAGGAGCAGAGGCCACAAGGAUGGUCAGGGCUGAAGGAGGAAAGGAAGCUGCCACCUCUGAGGUAAGCAAGAAAAAUGAGGAGAAUACCAUGGAAAUAGCCAAGAUCUAGAACAAUGUGCUUAAGAAGAGCUCUUCCUAAAGAAACCCAGAUAGUGUUCAGAUUUCAUCUAGUGAAGAUCUCAAGAAUGCCCAAGAAUUCUUGACUUUGUCUUUAGAAAAUCUAGAUGACCCCUCUCUGGACAAGAAGUCUGCUCUCAGUCUUCUUUCUCCAGUGGCCAGAUGUCUUCCUUAUUAAACCAUAUGGAGAACACACUCAGAAGAUUCUGGCUUUUCUUUAAUCCUCACAUAACCGCC